rnacentral:rRNA from 1 species
GAUGAACGCUGGCGGCGUGCCUAAUACAUGCAAGUCGAGCGAACGGACGAGAAGCUUGCUUCUCUGAUGUUAGCGGCGGACGGGUGAGUAACACGUGGAUAACCUACCUAUAAGACUGGGAUAACUUCGGGAAACCGUAGCUAAUACCGGAUAAUAUUUUGAACCGCAUGGUUCAAAAGUGAAAGACGGUCUUGCUGUCACUUAUAGAUGGAUCCGCGCUGCAUUAGCUAGUUGGUAAGGUAACGGCUUACCAAGGCAACGAUGCAUAGCCGACAUGAGAGGGUGAUCGGCCACACUGGAACUGAGACACGGUCCAGACUCCUACGGGAGGCAGCAGUAGGGAAUCUUCCGCAAUGGGCGAAAGCCUGACGGAGCAACGCCGCGUGAGUGAUGAAGGUCUUCGGAUCGUAAAACUCUGUUAUUAGGGAAGAACAUAUGUGUAAGUAACUGUGCACAUCUUGACGGUACCUAAUCAGAAAGCCACGGCUAACUACGUG